GAUGAACGCUAGCGGGAGGCCUAACACAUGCAAGUCGAACGGGAUUGAGAGCUUGCUCUCAUGAGAGUGGCGCACGGGUGAGUAACGCGUAUGCAACCUACCUAUAACAGAGGGAUAGCCCAUAGAAAUGUGGAUUAAUACCUCAUAGUUCUGAGAGACCGCAUGGUUUUUCAGAUAAAGCUCCGGCGGUUAUAGAUGGGCAUGCGUGACAUUAGUUUGUUGGUGAGGUAACGGCUCACCAAGACUACGAUGUCUAGGGGUUCUGAGAGGAUGAACCCCCACACUGGUACUGAGACACGGACCAGACUCCUACGGGAGGCAGCAGUGAGGAAUAUUGGUCAAUGGGCGCAAGCCUGAACCAGCCAUCCCGCGUGCAGGAUGAAGGCCCUAUGGGUCGUAAACUGCUUUUAUACACCAAGAAAAACACCCACGUGUGGGUGCCCGACGGUAGUGUAUGAAUAAGCAUCGGCUAACUCCGUGCCAGCAGCCGCCGUAAUAC
rnacentral:rRNA from 1 species